UACGUAGGGGGCAAGCGUUGUCCGGAAUCAUUGGGCGUAAAGAGCGUGUAGGCGGCUUGGUAAGUCCGCUGUGAAAGUCCAGGGCUCAACCCUGGAAAGCCGGUGGAAACUGUCAAGCUUGAGUCCGGAAGAGGCGAGUGGAAUUCCUGGUGUAGCGGUGAAAUGCGCAGAUAUCAGGAGGAUCACCAAUGGCGAAGGCAGCUCGCUGGGACGGUACUGACGCUGAGACGCGAAAGCGUGGGGAGCAAACAGG
rnacentral:rRNA from 1 species